UUUAAAUUUAACUGUAAAGACCGCUCAACCUAACUGUCAUGUGAUGUGACCGGUGGUCACGUAACUGGCCAGCGGUCGUCGUAAUUUCGUAGGCUAUCAUACGAAUUGCUGUGCAUACGUUUUCGUACAAUAUCAUACGAACCCUUCAUGAGAAUGUGUUGAAAUCACCUUUUGUCG